GCAAAUGACACACCAGGAAGUAAUUGAAUUUUGAGUUCGUUUCCUGGACCGCGUCAUUUGAGUUGACAAAUGCCUCAAGACCGAAACAAGUUACUUUGAAACUGACCCAAACAAUGGAACUCAUAUCUUGUCCAAAACACAGUAAGCCAUGUUCUCUGAAGACCGGCACCAAACCAGGCCCCAACAAAGGCAAGAGCUUCUACCUUUGCAUGGAUAACUCCGACGGACAAUGUGACUUUGUGCAACAAACAUCUCUGCCGCCCAAGUGCUGUCCGAACCACGCGGGGGAGUUUGUGGAGCUGCAGAGGGUGGUGGUGGGGAAACAGUCGGCGGAGAAGAGGUGUUACUACCGGUGUGCAGAUGGGAGAAGCAACAAGACCUGGUGUGGGUGCUUCAACUUCACAACUCAGAGUAACGCAGCCCUGAAGGAUUACAACUAUCAAGACAGAGACAAAUCUGCAGAGAAGGAAGGUGACGGAUCAAGUAAACGUACAGAGACAUCAACCAAUAGCAAGACAUCAACAUCAAACAGCAGCCUAGCAGACACGGACAAGGAAGCCAGUGUACUCAAUUGUCUUGAGAAAAAUAGUGAGAGGACUUCAAGAAAUGAGUCAUCUUCAAAAUCCGAUGAAGGAGCGGAAUCUGGGAGCAGAAAACAUUCAAAAUCAGAUGGAAAGCUUCAAGGUGACGUCAAGCAGAAAGAAGCAGACGUCAAAGAGAAAGGAACAGACGUCAAAGAGAAAGGAACAGACGUCAAAGAGAAAGGAGCAGACGUCAAAGAGAAAGGAGCAGACAUCAAAGAGAAAGGAGCAGACGUCAAAGAGAAAGGAGCAGACGUCAAAGAGAAAGGAGCAGACGUCAAGGAGAAAGGAGCAAAAGUCAAGCAGAAGGAAGAUGAGAACAAGGAAAAACGGGGAGAGAAUCGGGACAAAGUUGAGCCUGAGGUGGUGGUUCUUGACAGCAGUGAUGAUGAUGAUGACUUGCCAAGCUUCCACAGUCUGGCAAAAAGGACGCCUAAAAGUAAGGCGAUGUCAGUUGAGGGCAACUCCAGCUUCACAUCAUACAGAGACCGAGAGGUGGAGGGUUCACAUCAGUCAGGACAGACAAAGUCUACAGGUCCUACAGCUGAAGUUACCAAGGAACAGUCCCCUGUGGACUCUCUUAGUAAUGAAGUCAAGAAAAUGGGUUUGGGACAAGGGGAAGACAACCCUUUCUUAGACCUCACUUUGGAACAAGCCAUCUCUCGGAAGAGAGACUUACUUCAAGCCCUCCAUAAAAACAAGGAAAUCGCUCGUAGAGUGAAACUGUCCAAUCUUCCUGAUGGUGGCGUUAAACUGACGCAGGUGAUAGAGACCCUCAGCACCAGUGUCAGACAGCUGGAUGAGAGGAUCGCUAAAGGAAUCAUUCCGUCGGUGGAUGUAGACAAAGGGCCUCGAGUUGUACCCCCAGUUACCCAGGUUACGACAGUUCCGACUGGACAGGCAAAUGGGCAACAAGUGAUCAAGGUGAUGCCAGAUGGUUCCAAGGUCGUAAUGACGUCUCAAGGGAGUACUGGACCACGUCAGACAUCUCUCCUACAACACGCAGUACAGAUUCCAGCCCACGUGCUGCAGCAGAUGUAUGCAACGAACCCCCAGGCCAUGCAGCUGUACGGGGGCAGGAUGACCGGGGCAAGACUCCGGGAGGUCUCCUCCAUCACAAAGGAGGCUCUGGAGAAACUGCACAAGCAGCUGGAGUCGUGUCCCUCAGAGAGUGAGGAACUGGAGGACCCCCGGGGUCUGACCGUCCCCCUCAUGAUCCACCAGAGACAGGCCCUAGCUUGGUUGUCAUGGCGAGAGAAACAAACACCGUGUGGAGGAAUUCUGGCCGAUGAUAUGGGACUUGGGAAGACGUUGACGAUGAUCUCCUAUAUUGUGAAACAGCGGGAGAUGCUGGAGACUGGCACGGAUGAGGAGAAGUCAGCCUGGCUGAACAGGGACAAGGAACUGGAGAAGUUGGAUGCAUCGGUCGUGCCAUCACGGGCAACUCUUGUGGUGUGUCCAGCGUCCCUCAUCUAUCAAUGGCAGAAGGAGAUUGAGAAGCGAACACGACCAGGACUUCUGAGAGUUGAAGUCUACCAUGGUGCUAACAGGGAGAGAAAUAUACUCAAGCUUGCAAAGAACAACAUUGUCCUGACCACCUACAACAUCGUCAGCAAGGAAGUGGGCGUCGUCAAAGGGGAGAGUGCAGAUGAACCCGUCACAGAUGAUAAAAAGGAUUCAGAGGAAAAGACAGGCCCACAGCCGAUGAUGUUGAGGAUCGGAUGGGAGAGAAUCAUUUUAGACGAGGGUCACAACAUCAAGAAUCACAAGAGUCUGACCGCCAUGUCCGUGUCGAAGCUUCGAGCCAACUUCCGCUGGGCUCUCACUGGAACCCCCAUACAGAACGACCUGCUGGAUAUGUACUCUCUGCUCAGAUUUCUGCGAUGUUCGCCAUUCGAUGAGUACAAGGUGUGGAAGAAGCACGUGGACACGGGGAAAUCCCAAGGGACGACCAAACUGAACACCAUUGUCAGGUCGCUGCUGCUGCGACGCACCAAGAACCAGACUGGGAAAGAAGGGAAACCUUUAGUGAAUCUACCAACGAAGUCAGUAGAAACUUCUGAGGUCCAGCUGACACCGGAGGAGAGAAAGAUAUAUGACAAAGUCUUUGCCCAGACAAAAUCGACUGUGCAGGACUAUGUCAAACGUCACGAGGAGAAGGAGAUGGGGAUACAUCAAGGUACCUCCGAGUCUUCGUCAUCGUCCAACCCCUUCAGGGACAGCAGUUCACAGAGUGGGAGGGGAGGGGCGUGGACCUCCCAUGGGGCAGGGUUUGACAACGUCCCUCAGCCACAAGGAAAGAAGGCUGGAGCGAGCGAGCUGUUGGUCCUCCUCUUGCGACUUCGUCAGUGCUGCUGCCAUCUCAGCCUCAUGAGGGAUCACAUUGAGCAGGAGACGAUGGAGAAUGAGGGCAUUGAGUUGACGUUGGAGGAGCAGAUGAAGGGGAUGAUGUUGGAGGAGAUGUCAGCAGGGGAGGACGGGGCCAAGGCGGGGUCGUCGCCCUUGUUUGAGAAGUCCGCUUCAAGCACGAAGUUGAAAGAAUUAAUGUCGACGCUGCAAACAAUUAGGAAAGAAAGCAAACCAGGAUCUGUUAUAAAGAGUGUGGUUGUGUCCCAGUGGACGAAGAUGCUGGACAUCGUCGCCGUGCACCUGCGGAGGGUCAACAUCACCUACAACGUGAUACAGGGCAGCAUCCCCGCCAAGAAGAGGAUCGACAUGGUGGAAGAUUUCAACACAAACCCAAAAGGGGCAGAGGUGAUGUUGGUGUCGCUGAAGGCCGGCGGUGUUGGCCUCAACCUCAUCGGUGGGAGUCACCUGUUCCUGUUAGAUAACCACUGGAACCCCGCUCUGGAGGAACAGGCUUGCGACAGAAUCUACCGUGUUGGUCAGAAGAGGGAUGUCGUUAUACACAGGUUCCUGUGUAAGGACACGAUAGAGGAGAAGAUCCUGGAGCUGCAGAAGAGGAAGCUCUCUCUAGCCAAGAAUGUUCUUUCAGGAUCUGGUGCUAGCAGCCAGAAGCUGACACUAGCCGAUCUACGACAGAUGUUUAAUGUUUAACCAUACCAUGUAGAUAGUAUAUAGGAACUUGUCAUCCAAUACUGGAAUCUUGCUAAAAGACUCAUUUACUUGCUGUGGGAGAAAGGUACAAAGGCCACUGUUAAGUAGUAGACAGGAUGAGUUGUGUUUGAAAAGAAGGAAUGAGAAGCUCAGAGGUAAAGAACACAUGUCCAGGGUGAAGUCGCUUUUCAUUGUGAACUUGUCUUUGAUUUCUGUUGGGCUAAAAAAAAGAAUAGUCCUGGUUCUCAGGCACCACCCACAUCAUCAUGAAGUCUGCCACACAUUUCGUUUUUAUUUCCAUUUUCAAUAAAAAUAUAAAAUCCUAAUACUAAAAAAAAAUGUUAUCCCAUAUAGCACGCAGUUACCUUUACAUGUGCAAUGCUUUACUGCACAUCUCGUGUUAUGGUCAUGGCGGCAGUAGGAGUUUGUAUGCUUGUUUAUAUAGGGAGGCUCUUUCUCACAAUUGUUUAUUUGGUUACAUACUAGUUUGAACAAGCAAAAAAAACCCAGCCCGCCCACAUUUUCUUUUCUUAUGUCAUUGCCUGAGAACCAAUUCUUUUAUUUUUUUAAGCGUUUCAAAGGCAUACCUUCAUAAAACAUCAGCUACUUUUCUGUGUUUCCUCAAAGGGAUCUUACAGGUACAUCUAUCAUAUGUGGGAGUUACGAUCAUCUGACUGGGAAGAGGCUUUGUGGAACAUGCUCAUGUCCUAUUUGUUUUGAUGGUAUCUUAGGUAGCGUGCGCUACCUUAAUUUGAAUAUAUCUGUGGUAUUUAUUUUUCUGUUGAAUGAUAUUUGCAAGUGCUACCGUUUAGUGCUAUGUCCUGCAGGUCAGUGUGACCCAGCUGUAACAUUGCUGACUGCAGAUCAGUGUGACCCAGCUGUAACAUUGCUGCCUGCAGGUCAGUGUGACCCAGCUGUAACAUUGCUGCCUGCAGGUCAGUGUGACCCAGCUGUAACAUUGCUGCCUGCAGAUCAGUGUGACCCAGCUGUAACAUUGCUGCCUGCAGGUCAGUGUGACCCAGCUGUAACAUUGCUGACUACAGGUCAGUGUGACUCAGCUGUAACAUUGCUGCCUGCAGGUCAGUGUGACCCAGCUGUAACAUUGCUGCCUGCAGGUCAGUGUGGCCCAGCUGUAAUAUUGCUGACUUCAGGUCAUUGUGACCCAGCUGUAACAUUGCUGCCUGCAGGUCAUUGUGAUAUACUUGUUGCCAUGAUACAGCUGUAACAUUCUUGAUACAUUGUUACAUUUACCUCCUCACCCUGGAAAUAUCCAGAAACUGAAGUGCAAGACUUUAUGUUCCAGUCAGCUGGACUUGACUCUACGUCAUUUUAAUGGCAUACUUUUGUUAUCCUAUUUAUUCGCUAUGUAUAGAUAAAUAUUUCAAACAUG
rnacentral:misc_RNA from 1 species